AAGUCGUAACAAGGUUUCCGUAGGUGAACCUGCGGAAGGAUCAUUAACACUUUUUUUCUUUUUCUUUUUUCAACCCAUUCAUUGGGGAGAAAAAAAGAAAAUAUCUUACCCACAUAUUUAGAUGAAUUAUAUCUUUUUUUUCUUUCUUCAAAAUUUUAACCCCAAAAACACACUAAUACUGCCUAACAUAUUUAUAUAUAUCUAUAAAAUUAAGAAAAACAACUCUUAACAACGGAUAUCUAGGCUCUC
rnacentral:misc_RNA from 1 species